AGAACUGUAUCUUUUUUUGGGAAGGAAUAAUGAAAAGUGAGACACCUGGAUGUGCUUUACGUUUGAGCAGUAUAUGAUGCAGUUACACUCUAAUUAUUUUCACGGGCACCCAGUGUUUUGGAUGUCAGUUGCACGACGAUUGCAAAGGUAAAAUCCAACGAACAGUUAUUGUUUCUUUUUUUUGUUGAAAAAUAAAGGAACUGAAACAUUAAAACAAUAUCCGUAAGUAAGAUACAAUAUAAUUUGUAAAUAAGUGGAGUUUAGUAUAUUGGUAUGUUAAAUUUAGAAACAUUAAAGUUGUAGUUAAAAUAUUUGUAUAAUAAAGUAGGAGGGAUACGAGUA